rnacentral:rRNA from 1 species
AUUGAACGCUGACGGCAUGCUUUACACAUGCCAGUCGAACGGUAACAGGCCUUCGGGUGCUGACGAGUGGCGAACGGGUGAGUAAUGCAUCGGAACGUACCCAGAGGUGGGGGAUAACGCAGCGAAAGCUGUGCUAAUACCGCAUGUGAUCUGAGGAUGAAAGCGGGGGACCGAGCAGCAAUGUUUGGCCUCGCGCCUUUGGAGCGGCCGAUGUCGGAUUAGCUAGUUGGUGGGGUAAAGGCCUACCAAGGCGACGAUCCGUAGCUGGUCUGAGAGGACGACCAGCCACACUGGGACUGAGACACGGCCCAGACUCCUACGGGAGGCAGCAGUGGGGAAUUUUGGACAAUGGGCGCAAGCCUGAUCCAGCAAUGCCGCGUGCGGGAAGAAGGCCUUCGGGUUGUAAACCGCUUUUGGCAGGAACGAAACGGUGUCCGCUAAUACCGGGCGCUAAUGACGGUACCUGCAGAAUAAGCACCGGCUAACUACGUG